UACGAAGGGGGCAAGCGUUGUUCGGAAUGACUGGGCGUAAAGGGCGCGUAGGCGGUUCGUUGCGUCAGAUGUGAAAGCCCCGGGCUCAACCUGGGAACUGCAUUUGAUACGGGCGGGCUUGAAUCCAAGAGAGGGUGGUGGAAUUCCCAGUGUAGAGGUGAAAUUCGUAGAUAUUAGGAAGAACACCAGUGGCGAAGGCGGCGAUCUGGGAAGAUACUGACGCUGAGGUGCGAAAGCGUGGGGAGCAAACAGG
rnacentral:rRNA from 1 species